rnacentral:rRNA from 1 species
UACGUAGGGGGCAAGCGUUGUCCGGAUUUACUGGGCGUAAAGAGCGUGUAGGCGGCCAAGCAGGUCCGUUGUGAAAACUGGGGGCUUAACCUCCAGACGUCGACGGAAACCGCGUGGCUAGAGUCCGGAAGAGGAGAGUGGAAUUCCUGGUGUAGCGGUGAAAUGCGCAGAUAUCAGGAAGAACACCAAUGGCGAAGGCAGCUCUCUGGGACGGUACUGACGCUGAGACGCGAAAAGCGUGGGGAGCGAAACAGG